GACGAACGCUGGCGGCGUGCCUAAUACAUGCAAGUCGAACGAGAGCGCCCGGUGCUUGCACUGGUCAAUCUAGUGGCGAACGGGUGAGUAACACGUGGGUAACCUGCCCAUCAGAGGGGGAUAACAUCCGGAAACGGAUGCUAAAACCGCAUAGGUCUUCGAACCGCAUGGUUUGAAGAGGAAAAGAGGCGCAAGCUUCUGCUGAUGGAUGGACCCGCGGUGCAUUAGCUAGUUGGUGAGGUAACGGCUCACCAAGGCCGUGAUGCAUAGCCGACCUGAGAGGGUGAUCGGCCACAUUGGGACUGAGACACGGCCCAAACUCCUACGGGAGGCAGCAGAAGGGAAUCUUCCGCAAUGGACGCAAGUCUGACGGAGCAACGCCGCGUGAGUGAAGAAGGUUUUCGGAUCGUAAAACUCUGUUGUUAGAGAAGAACAAGUGCUAGAGUAACUGUUAGCGCCUUGACGGUAUCUAACCAGAAAGCCACGGCUAACUACGUG
rnacentral:rRNA from 1 species